CUGUGUUUGGAUGGUGUUUGGCACCAGGGACAGAUAUGUUUACCUGUCUGUGGAUGUUGUUUAGCACCAAGGCCAGGUAUGUUCACCU
rnacentral:pre_miRNA from 1 species